GCGUAAUGAAAAUGACUUUUCUUUAAGUUAAUACAAUAGAAAAGACGAAUUACAAAAGCAGCAACACGAGCACUUUGUUUUUCCUCACGAAAUUAAGAUAGAUAGAUAAGUUUUGUUUAUGGCCAUACACAUAAUGUGAAGGCAAAUUCUUUUUUGGAUUUUUUUUUUUUUUUGGUCUGUCUCUUUCUUGUAACAUGUGUAGAUGAUAUGAUCACUUGAUUGUUAUAUGUUCUAGUCCUUUAUAAAAAUGUAGAACGACUUAUUCUUGUUUUUUUAAUGUCUUUUUAAUACGAACUAAUAAUUGAAAAAAUAAA
rnacentral:lncRNA from 1 species